rnacentral:rRNA from 1 species
UACGGAGGGGGCUAGCGUUGUUCGGAAUUACUGGGCGUAAAGCGCGCGUAGGCGGACCUGCAAGUCGGGGGUGAAAGCCUGUGGCUCAACCACAGAAUUGCCUUCGAUACUGCAUGGCUUGAGACCGGAAGAGGUAAGUGGAACUGCGAGUGUAGAGGUGAAAUUCGUAGAUAUUCGCAAGAACACCAGUGGCGAAGGCGGCUUACUGGUCCGGUUCUGACGCUGAGGCGCGAAAGCGUGGGGAGCAAACAGG